CUACGGGCGGCACCAGUGGGGAAUAUUGGACAAUGGGGGAAACCCUGAUCCAGCAAUGCCGCGUGUGUGAAGAAGGCCUGCGGGUUGUAAAGCACUUUCGGUUGGGAGGACUGCUUCUAGCACUAAUAUUGUUGGAAGUUGACGUUACCUUCAGAAGAAGCACCGGCUAACUCCGUGCCAGCAGCCGCGGUAAUACGGAGGGUGCAAGCGUGAAUCGGAAUUACUGGGCGUAAAGCGCGCGUAGGCGGCUAGAUCAGUCGGGUGUGAAAGCCCCGGGCUUAACCUGGGAACUGCAUCCGAUACUGUCUAGCUUGAGUACAGGAGAGGAGAGUGGAAUUCCACAUGUAGCGGUGAAAUGCGUAGAUAUGUGGAGGAACACCAAUGGCGAAGGCAGCUCUCUGGCCUGAUACUGACGCUGAGGUGCGAAAGCGUGGGGAGCAAACAGGAUUAGAUACCCCGGUAGUC
rnacentral:rRNA from 1 species